rnacentral:rRNA from 1 species
UGGGGAAUUUUGGACAAUGGGGGCAACCCUGAUCCAGCCAUUCCGCGUGAGUGAAGAAGGCCUUCGGUUGUAAAGCUCUUUCGGCAGGAACGAAACGGUGUGGGCCAAUACCCUGCAUCAAUGACGGUACCUGAAGAAGAAGCACCGGCUAACUACGUGCC